UCAAAUAUGGACUAGCGGUUAGGAUUUCUGGUUUUCACCCAGUCGGCCCGGGUUCGACUCCCGGUAUGGGAA
rfam:Nematostella vectensis strain CH2 x CH6 NEMVEscaffold_4197_Cont47267, whole genome shotgun sequence.